rnacentral:rRNA from 1 species
AGCAGCCGCGGUAAUUCUAGCUCCAAUAGCGUAUAUUAAAGUUGCUGCAGUUAAAAAGCUCGUAGUUGAAUUUCGGGACCGAUAUAUCGGUUGUGCCUCGGUACGUACUGGUAUUUUCGGUUUCUACCUUCUGACGAACCUUGAUGUCAUUAAUUUGGUGUCUUGGGGAAUCAGGACUGUUACUUUGAAAAAAUUGAGUGUUUAAAGCAGGCUCACGCUUGAAUACAUUAGCAUGGAAUAAUGAAAUAGGACGUUUGAUUCUAUUUUGUUGGUUUCUAGGAUCGACGUAAUGAUUAAUAGGGAUAGUUGGGGGCAUUAGUAUUCAAUUGUCAGAGGUGAAAUUCUUGGAUUUAUUGAAGACUAACUACUGCGAAAGCAUUUGCCAAGGAUGUUUCAUUAAUCAAGAACGAAAGUUAGGGGAUCGAAGACGAUCAGAUACCGUCAUAGUCUUAACCAUAAACUAUG